AUGAACGCUGGCGGCGUGCCUAAUCCAUGCAAGUCGAGCGAACAGACGAGGAGCUUGCUCCUCUGACGUUAGCGGCGGACGGGUGAGUAACACGUGGAUAACCUACCUAUAAGACUGGGAUAACUUCGGGAAACCGGAGCUAAUACCGGAUAAUAUAUUGAACCGCAUGGUUCAAUAGUGAAAGACGGUUUUGCUGUCACUUAUAGAUGGAUCCGCGCCGCAUUAGCUAGUUGGUAAGGUAACGGCUUACCAAGGCAACGAUGCGUAGCCGACCUGAGAGGGUGAUCGGCCACACUGGAACUGAGACACGGUCCAGAUUCCUACGGGAGGCAGCAGUAGGGAAUCUUCCGCAAUGGGCGAAAGCCUGACGGAGCAACGCCGCGUGAGUGAUGAAGGUCUUCGGAUCGUAAAACUCUGUUAUUAGGGAAGAACAAAUGUGUAAGUAACUAUGCACGUCUUGACGGUACCUAAUCAGAAAGCCACGGCUAACUACGUG
rnacentral:rRNA from 1 species